rnacentral:rRNA from 1 species
GAACGGGUGAGUAAUGCAUCGGAACGUGCCCAGUCGUGGGGGAUAACUGCUCGAAAGAGCAGCUAAUACCGCAUACGACCUGAGGGUGAAAGCGGGGGACCGUAAGGCCUCGCGCGAUUGGAGCGGCCGAUGUCAGAUUAGCUAGUUGGUGGGGUAAAGGCCUACCAAGGCAACGAUCUGUAGUUGGUCUGAGAGGACGACCAGCCACACUGGGACUGAGACACGGCCCAGACUCCUACGGGAGGCAGCAGUGGGGAAUUUUGGACAAUGGGCGCAAGCCUGAUCCAGCAAUGCCGCGUGCAGGAAGAAGGCCUUCGGGUUGUAAACUGCUUUUGUCAGG